UACGGAGGAUGCAAGCGUUAUCCGGAAUUAUUGGGCGUAAAGCGUCCGUAGGCGGCUAAUCAAGUCUGCUGUCAAAGCGUGGAGCUUAACUCCAUACCGGCGGUGGAAACUGAUGAGCUAGAGUGCGAUAGGGGUAGCAGGAAUUCCCAGUGUAGCGGUGAAAUGCGUAGAGAUUGGGAAGAACACCAGCGGCGAAAGCGUGCUACUGGGUCUGCACUGACACUGAGGGACGAAAGCUAGGGGAGCGAAAGGG
rnacentral:rRNA from 1 species